UUAAUGGCCCAGACAAGAGGUCCUAAGAUAAGGGUGGGGGGCUUAUUUCAAGAUCUGUUUCUUUCAUAGAUAUUUUUUUUUCAUAAAGUAUAGGGAGUACAAAUCCUCCCUCAAUCAUAAUGAAGCAAGUUUUUAAUGAGUAUCUGUCUGUUCUCGUUGCUUCUAUCUUUUCUAACGUACAACGUACAGUCUCCUUUUCGGUCGGAUUCUAAUACGGGGGAAGCGAUUACUCGAGGAAUUACGAUAACUUUCAUUAAGCGUCGGUGGUAAUGACGACCCCGAAUAUGAACGCAGGUUUUGUCAGGGCCGUAGAAAGGGGUGGGGCAUUAGGGGCUCGUGCCCCCCCCCCCCUCCCCAAUAUAUAUUUUUUUACUGUUAAAGAAAUGACCAGUAGGUGCGUGGCUGUGCACCCACAACUUUUUUUAUGUUUCUGUACCGUGUCACUCCCCCCCCCCCCCCAAAAAAAAAAAAAGAAGUCUCCUGUGCAGCCGUGAUAAACAUCAGUCGAACGCAUCCGCUAAAACAGCUUAGAAUGACAGUUAACCGCGGAAUAAGCGGCCGAGGAGGUGAGACCAGUACUAGUCAAAGGCGACGGGGAUAAGCAAAUACUGAAGCUGAGGGGUGCAAGGGGAGCAGGAUAAUAGCGUGACGAGGAGAACGGCUACGAGGGAGAGCUAUAGCUGGAAUUCAAUGAUUGCUCGGAAGCAAAAUAAUAAAGCAUUAGCCUAUCAAACAUGUC